CAGCGUAAACUGCAAAAGAGUCUACAGAAAGAAAUCUCCGAGAGAGAAAGUGAACUGAACAGGCUGAGGGAAAACGUUGAAUCUCUUCAGUCUUCUGCUAAGGCUUCAGUGGAGGUGAGUGAGAGCAACUUUACGGAGCUGCUAGCCUUCUUUGAGCGGAUGCGCUCAGAGGUGCCGGAGAUGAUCAGGGCUCAGGAGAAGGCUGAGCUGAGUCGGGAAGAGCAGCGGCAGGAGGAGGUCAAUGUGUUGAAGACGAGAGCAGCUGAGAUGGAGCAGCUUGCUAGCAAAGAGGAUGAAGUACAGUUCCUGCAGAAUCUCUCUCUUUUCUCUCCUGAGGAUUUACCAAGA
ensembl:lncRNA